AUGAAAGGGCGAUGGCGAUCGGGUUUCGUUUUGUGUAGAUUAUCGGAUUUUGUUGAUUCGCUUCUUCUGUUUGGGUUUGAUUCUAUGAUUAGAUAUGGAUGGAUGGGUUUGAUUCUAUGAUUUAUAUAUGGAUGGAUUAAGUUUUGUUUAUCGCUAUGCUGUAGGGUUUGGUGAUGGAUUUUGCUACCGAUUAAAAGUGGAAUCUAAUGACCGUUGAAGGUAGGUUGUGUAUAUUUGCAGGCUUGUUUUAUUGGUUCAGAUGAGACCCAAACAAGAUUGGCCUGAUGGUGAAGUAGGUGUUUGGUAUGAAACUGCUUUGAAUUCGAUUUGGAUCUUCUAGUUGUUUUGUAUAGAUAGAAUUUGUUGAUUUGAGGCCGAAGUUCAUCUUUAUUGAUAUGCUUAUGUGUUUUGAUUGGCCUGAUGGUGAUGACUGCCAGGGCAUCUAGUUCUGCUUGCGAUUUGAUUUGGACGGAAAACCGCAUGAUUUUGUUCUGAAGUUUAGAAUAUAAUGAUUUGGAAAUUUCCCUCGUUUUUUAUCAAUCAAAUAAGCGGAGCUUUGUUGUUAUUUUUCAGGCCUCGUUUGCGGUGUUUGACACACGAGGGUUAGAUGUUAUCAUGUUAUGGUUAGCUGAUAACUCCAUAGGUUCUUAUGGGAUCUGAUUGUAUGGCUAUGAGGUUGGAUUUUAUACUGAUUUGCGGAUGCAAUGGAAUGUUGAAUGUCAAAAUUUUCCUUCUGGAUCUAUUGAUUUGCAGGAGAUAGUAAUCGUGUUGCAGAUUUGAGCUUAUGUCUGCACCUUUUCAGUCUUUGGAUAGAGUCCAUUUGUAAAGGUUUUCAUUGGUUUGCUGCAUAUGGAUUAUUGUUUUUGGUUACAUGCUUAUUCUUUUACAGUUUGUCAAAAUGCGCGUCUUUAUAUAUCUUUCAAGUCCCUGAAAUUUGUAAGUAAUACCAUGUUUAUGUCCUCCUUUUCCCUAUGAUCAUGCCGAACUUUCUGCUCUUAUAUUGACAUACUAAAUCCAGAAUUCGUGUUAACCGUCUUAGUUCGUAGCCUUUCAUUUCGAUGUGUUUCUUGUUUUUGGGGUAUGUUCGAAACGGGUUUUUAUGUCCUCAAUUUUGGCUUUCUAUUGAUUUUCUCUGUUGGAAUGAAAGGGUCUAUUUUAAUUUCUUCUUGUCUGAAAUAUAUAGUAAUUGUUUUUUCAAAGAUAUAAAAUUAUUCAAUGUAUUUGAUCAAUAAAUUUUGCUUUAUGGUCUUUAAGCUAUUAAUAAUUACAACCAAAAGUGGUUUGGCGCUUACCUUUUAGCGUUAUGUUUUUUAAAAGUUUGUUCAUUUCUAUGGUUGUCAUUGCAUAUAGUUGGACUUCGCAUUUGUAUAGCAGUGUGGUUAGGUUUUGUCUUGAUGAUUCACUACUUUUGUGAUUAAAGUGCUUAUGGAGACUAAGUUGGAUGGAGCCAAAAGUUUAUGACACUUAUGGGGAGCUGUUCUGGUUUGGUUAACAUGUUAAAUCUUUUUCUUUUAAUAUUUUAAUUUUUUUUUAUACAAGUUCCUCUCUCUCUCUCUCUCUCUCUCUCUCACUCACCCCAAAAUUAAUAUUAGGUACUAUGUAUUUUUCAGGUUUCUUCCGUUGGUUUCAAAUUGGCAUACUACCUAAGAGGGGGUUUAAUGCUGUUGCCUUUCGUUUCCCAGUUAAAUUUUUUAUUAAAUUUGGUGUUUAUAUUUUAGCAAUAUCUUAUGUAGAUGUAACCUAAUUUUUGUCUUAGGGACAAAGUUUCACCACGGGGUAACGGUUUGAGAGCUCAAAGCCGCUUGUUUUGUUUGUUCCCCUUCGUUGGUUUCUUAUUUUUGUUACUUGUUCAAUAUCGUGAAUUAUGUGAUCUGUCUUUACGUUGGUGUCUUGCUUUAGUCCAAAUUAUGUAGUGAUUAUCAGUAUUUGAGCAGUUCCUGGGGUUACCUUGUUUGCUGAUUUUUUUGCAGGAAGUUGGUUUUAACGCCACAGUUAAUGAAGGAAUUGGAAUUAGGUUAUUGGGAGAACAUGUUAAAUCCUUUGUCUCUCAAGUUUUUUAAACUUUUAUAUACGUCUUUCUCUCUUUUAUGUCAAUUUCACUCCUUAUGAAAUUAAUAUUAUGUAUUAUGUAUUUUUCAGGUUUCUUAUGUUGGGUUUGAAUUGACUUUCUAGCUAAGAGGGGGCUUAAUGUUGCCUUUUUUUUCCCAUUCCAGAAAUUUAUUACAUGUGGUGCUGUUUUUUUAGCAGUAUCUUAUGUAGAUGCACCUUAAUUCUUGUCUUAGGGACAAAGUGGGGGCACGGGUUUGAGAGAUCAAGGCCACUGGUUUUUUUUUGUGUUCACCUUCCUUGGAUUCGUAUUUUCGUUACUUGUUCAAUAUCUUGAAUUCUGUGGUCUGUCUUUCCAUUGAUGUCUUGCUUUAGUCCACAUUAUGUAGUGAUUAUCAGGAUUUUGAGCAGUUACUGCACUUGCCUUGUUUGGUGACGGUUUUAUUUCUCUUAUUUCUUUUUAAACUUUUAUACAAGUCUCUCUCUCUCUCUCUCUCUCUCUCUCUCUCUCUCUCUCUCUCUCUCUAAAUAUCUCUGUAUUUCACCCCUAAAUUGGUCAGGUAUUAUGUUUUUCAGGUUUCUUCUGUUGGGUUUGAAUUGACUUACUACAAUAAAGGGGGUUUAAUGAUGUUGCUUUUUUGUUUCCCAUUUCAAUUUUUAUUUUUAUACAUUUGGUGUUAUUAUUAUAGCAAAUAUCUUAUGUAGUUGCACCCUAAUUCUUGUCUUAGGGACAGAGUUUCAUCGGGGCGCACCAGUUUGAGAACUCAAGGCUGCUGGUUUUGUUUGUUCACUUUCCUUGGUUUCUUAUUUUUGAUACGUGUUCAAUAUUGUGAAUUUUGUGGUCUCUUUUCCGUCGAUGUCUUGCUUUAGUCCACAUUACGUAGUGAUUGCAGUUGCAUUGUUUGGUGAUUUGUUUUGUAGGAGUUUGGUUUUAGAUGUUUACGCCUCAGUUAAAUGGAAGUGGAAAUAGGUUUAUUGGGAGAAUAUGUUUGCGUUUUGUUUUUUGAUGAAAUUGUUUAAUUCUCGACUUGGUCAAUGUCCUAAAUUAUUGGGAGAACAUCUUAAAUAUUUUAUCGUUUAAUUUUUUAAAGAUAUAUAUAUAUAUAUAUCUCUCUCUCUCUCACUCUCUCUCUCUCUUCCCCCUAAAUUAAUAUUAGGUAUUAUGUAUUUUUCAGGGUUCUUCUGUUGGGUUUGAACUUACUACCUUAGAGGGGGUUUAAUGUUGUUGCCUUUUGUUUCCCAUUUCAAAAAUUUAUUACAUUUGGUGCUGUUCUUUUAUCAAUAUCUUAUGUAGAUGCACCCUAAUUCUUGUCUUAGGGACAAAGUUUCACCUGGGGGCACCGGUUUGAGAGCUCAAAGCCGCUGGUUUUGUUUGUUCACCUUGUUUCUUAUUUUUGUUACUUGCUCAAUACCGUUUUGUUUGUUCACCUUGUUUCUUAUUUUUGUUACUUGCACAAUAUUGUUUCUGUGGUUUUUCCGUUGGUGUCUUGUGCUGACUUGCAUAAUGCAGAGACUUGUUUUAGUCCGCAUUAUGCAAGUCUAUAAGGAUUUUGAUCAGUCCUACACUUACCUUGUUUGGUGAAUUUUUGCAUGAAUUUGAUUUUGAAGGUUUAUGCUGCAGUUAAAUGGAAGAGGAAAUAGGUUAUUUGGGGAAUGUGUCGUCGUUUUGUUUUUGGUGAAAUUGUUUUAUUCUCUGCUCGUUUGAUGUCCUAUAUUAUUGGGAGAACAUGUUAAAUAUUUGUCUUUUAUUGUUUUAUUUUUUAUAUAUAUUAAGUGUAUAUCUCUCCCUCUAACACUUAAUUAAUAUUAGGUAUUAUGUAUUUUCAGGCUUCUUCUGUUGGGUUUGAAUUGACAUGCUACCUAAGAAGGGGUUUAUUGUUGUUGCCUUUUGUUUUACAUUUCAAAAAUUGAUUACAUUCAGUGCCUGUUAUUUUAGCUAUAUCUUAUGUAGAUGCACCCUAAUUCUUGUCUUAGGGACAAAGUUUCAACUUGGUGCAUGGGUUUGAGUGGAGUUCAAGGCUGCUGGUUUUUAUUCACCCUUCUUGGUAUAUGAGGGGAUAUGUUCAAAAUCACCAUCAAUCUUAUUAAUCUUUUUUUUCUUUGUUCGAAGAUAUAAUAUUAUGAUGUUUUUUAUUACAGAUGCUGAAUGUGUCUUUACUUCCUUCUGUGCUGCCAUGUAUUUGUUCGAUGUAUGUUGCUUUAUGGUCAUUCCAUAUAUUUGAUCUCCCAAAUUGUAUAGCGGUCUGGUUUGACAUUCUCUUGAUGAUGAUUCCCUAUUUUCGUGAUUUGAUGCGUAUGGAGAAUUGGUUGCAUUUAAAGUUUAUGACUCUGUUGUGGGGAGCAGAUUCUGGUUUGGUUUCUUAACAAGAACAUGUUAACUUCCUACUUUUAAAUUCUCUCUUCUCUCUCUCUCUCUCUCUCUCUCUGAAUGGGGUACUUUGUAUUUUUCAGGUUUCUUCUGUGGGGUUUUAAUUGACAUACCAUUUAAGAGGGGGUUUAAUUCUUGUUUCCUUCUGUUUAAUUUCUCAUCUUAAGGAUUUAUAAGAUUUGGUGCUGUUAUUUAGCAAUAUCUGAAGUAGAUGCAUACUAAUUCUUGUCUUAGGGACAAAGUUUUCCUUGGGGCAUGGCAAUGAAUGGAGCUCAUGGGUGCUGGUUUUGUUUAUUCACCCUUCUUGCUUUCUUGUUUCUUUUACAUGUUCAAUAUCGGUGAAUUAUGUGGUUGUCUUUCCUUUGAUGUCUUAUGCAGAUGAAUCUCUUGCUUUUAGUCUGUCUUCAUGGAGCUGAGUAUCAGGAUUUUGAGGAGCUUCUGCAGUUGCCUUAUUGACCCUGUUUGCUUUCUUAUUUCUGUUACAUGUUUAAUAUCGUGAAUUCCGUGGUUGUCUUUCCUUUCGUGUCUUAUGCAGUGCAUCUAUUGCUUUAGUCCAGAGUAUCAGGAUUUUGAGGAGCUUCUGUAGUAGUUCUAUUUGGUGAUCUUUUGCAGGAAUUUGUUUUUAAAGGUUUACGUUGCAGUUCGUUCUUGGCUUGUAAUUUAAUUUCUUAUUUCUUUGAUGUCUGGAACCAUUUGUUUAUGCAGAUUGCAAAUCUUGUCUGUCUAUGCAAUCUCACUCUCCGUUGAAUAAAAAUGGGUUGCCUAAUGUCUGUAUAAUGUGGGGCACAUUGUCUGAGCUAUAUUUCUGCCUGCAGGCGUAUCCUAACUCGUGUCUAUAUAUGGAGGUCUCACUUUCUCGAACGAGUUUUAAGAAGGGGUUUGAGUAGUUUUUGGCUUAUGAUUUUGUUUCUUAUUUCUUGGUGUUCAUGAGGUAUGGAACCAUUAUUUGAGCACUUUUAUGCAGAUGCAUCCCAAUGCUUGUCGGUUGCUGGAGUCUCACACUGUUGAAAGAAAAAAAGGGUUUUUUGAGUUAUUAUCUGAUUUUAUAUUAUUGGAGCCCGUAUGACAUCCUGAGACAUUAUUUGCACAAUGUCUUUUAAGAAAGGUUUGGGUGGUUCUGAGUUAUUAUCUGAUUUUAUAUUCUUGGAGCCAGUAUGUCAUCCUGAGACAUUUUUUGCGCAAUGUCUUUAUAUGCAGACCAUUACACUUGUCUUCUUGUGGGGUCUGAUUCCUUGAAGUAGAACGAGCUGCUUUUAAGAAAGGGUGGUUUGAGUGGUUCUCUGCUUAUGCUUUAACUUCUUACGUGAGCCAUUAUUUGAGUAAUGUUUUCUUUUAGAGUUUGAUGCAUCUUGUGUAUUGGUCAAGAGUUUAUAAGAUCUGGUAUGAAGUCUAUGCAGAUGCAAUUUAACUCGCAUGUGUAUGAAGUCUUCGUUUAAGGAGAGCAGGGGGUCUUUUAUCUAAUUUUUUUUAUUCGUACCGUCUGUAUAAUGUGGGGCACAUUGUCUGAGCUAUAUUUCUGCCUGCAGGCGUGUCCUAACUCGUGUCUAUAUAUGGAGGUCUGACUUUCUCGAACGAGUUUUAAGAAGGGGUUUGAGUAGUUUUUGGCUUAUGAUUUUGUUUCUUAUUUCUUAGUGUUUAUGAGGUAUGGAACCGUUAUUUGAGCACUCUUUUAUGCAGAUGCAUCCCAACGCUUGUCAGUUGCUGAAGUCACACUGUUGAAAGAAAAAAAAGGGGUUUUCUGAGUUAUCUGAUUUUAUAUUAUUGGAGCCUGUAUGACAUCCUGAGACAUUUUUUGCGCAAUGUUAUAUGCAGACCAUUACACUUGUCUUCUUGUGGGGUCUGAUUCUUUGAAGUAGAACGAGUUGCUUUUAAGAAAGGGUUUGGGUGGUUCUCUGCUUAUGAUUUAACUUCUUACAUGAGCCGUUAUUUGAGUAAUGCUUUCUUUUAGAGUUUGAUGCAUCUUGUGUAUUGGUGAAGAGUUUGUAAGAUCUGGUACCAUUGUUCGAGCAAUAUUCUAUGCAGAUGCAAUUUAACUCGCAUGUGUAUGAAGUCUUACUUUGUUUAAGGAGAGCAGGGGGUCCAUCUGAUCUCGUGUCUAUAUAUGGAGGUCUCACUUUCUCGAACGAGUUUUAAGAAGGGGUUUGAGUAGUUUUUGGCUUAUGAUUUUGUUUCUUAUUUCUUGGUGUUUAUGAGGUAUGGAACCAUUAUUUGAGCACUCUUUUAUGCAGAUGCAUCCUAAUGCUUGUCGGUUGCUGGAGUCUCACACUGUUGAAAGAAAAAAAGGGUUUUCUGAGUUAUUAUCUGAUUUUAUAUUCUUGGUGCCCGUAUGACAUCCUAAGACAGGUUUUGCGCAAUGUCUUUAUAUGCAGACCAUUACAAUUGUCUUCUUGUGGGGUCUGAUUCCUUGAAGUAGAACGAGCAGCCUUUAAGAAAGGGUUUGAGUGGUUCUCUGCUUAUGAUUUAACUUCUUACACGAGCCAUUAUUUGAGUAAUGUUAUCUUUUAGAGUUUGAUGCAUCUUGUGUAUUGGUGAAGAUUUUAUAAGAUCUGGUACAUUGUUCGAGCAAUAUUCUAUGCAAAUGCAAUUUAACUCGCCUGUGUAUGGAGUUUUACUUUGUUUAAGGAGAGCAGGGAGGCUACCAACAGUGAAUUUCUUCGCCCAGUUAUUUGAUUUCCUGGUCUUAAGAAACCCCCGCCCUAUAUGCAGACACAUACUAACUCUUGUCUUGUACAUGCAGUCCAACAUUGUUGACAGAGAAGAGCUUCUUCCAAGGGGGGGUUUCUUAUCUUAUUAUCUAUUUUCUAUUUCUGGAGAUUGUAUGAGAUCUUGGGCCAUGAUUUGCACCAUUACUUUCCAUUCUAUGGGGUCCAACUUUGUUGAAGGAAAUCGCUUUUAAGAGGGAGUUGAGUAGUGUGGCCUUAUGAUUUAAUUUCUUCUUGGGUUUAUGAGAUUCGACACUUUCAUUGGGCGUUCUUUUGUGCAGAUGCAUCGUAGUUCUGCUCUGUUUCUGGAUCUUUUUUCCUCACAUGUUGGGCUUUGUUGAUUUUUGUGUUGUGCUUUAAUGUCUCAGUUUUAAAGGAGUUAUGAGAUGCAUCCUUGUUCUUGUGUGCGAAAGAGAGUAACUUAAUUCAUGACUGGACUCCUUUCUUAAGGAGGUUACGCUGCGUCUGAUCUUUGUUGUGGCUCUCUUUUUCGAGGAGGGUUUCAGGAGUUCAAUUUCAAGUUAAUGUUAAUGGCGAAACCUCAGGAGCAGGUGUCAUGCCGAGUUUUGUUUUCCGUUAUGUAUUUUAUUCAGUAUCCUGAACCUUUGAACCUUUGAACCUUUGGGCUAUUAUUCAGUCAUUGUCUCAUGCAGAUGCUCGUUGUUCCAAGUCUUAUUAGAGUUGAGUUGAUGAGGAUGAUCUUUUGAGUGACAAUCAGAACUUGUGGCACGGUGCCUGGUUUUUCAUAUUUGCCUUCUUGUUUUCUUGAUACUUACAUUUCUUUUCAAAUGGUUAUAUGUUAUGGUUUUGUCAGUGUUUUUUGCGGUAGUUCAUGGAUUUUCCUGUGCGGAAGUUUUGUAGCUCAGAGUCUUGGAUCUGCAUUGAUUCCUUGAGAAACACACUCCACAUUUGGUUUCUUAUUCAUUUGUCUUCUUUCAUGGGGUUUAUCCUUCCUGGCUUGAUAGUUCAACAUAUUCUUAUGGUGAUGGGUUCAUUCUUUUCUUUCAACUUAAUUAUAUUCUCUCAAACUUUACUUUUAUUUCUGUUUUUUAAAAGAUAACUUAUUACAGAUUUUGAAUUUCGUGUAGGGGCCUCAAGAUCCUUAAUCUUUUAUGACUCUGCGCCUCUCCCAUUCAUUUCUAUAUUGUGCUGGUCUUUAAUUAAUUCACACAUUUUAAGGUUUGGCAGAUGCUCGUCUAUAUUGGUAUUGCUGUUUUUGUCUGUUUAAAUGUCUGUUUUGUCUGGUUGAAGGUGGAUUCAAUGCAGUAUGUGCAGCUUUGUGCAAUACUUUGUCCAUUCAGGGUUGGAUAUUCUUUGGUGCUUCAUUUUUUUUUUUUUUCCUUCUAUUCUUUGCCCUUUUCAGAAGGGUACUUGUUAAGAUAUUUGGUCGUUCAUUUGAUAUUUUAUUGAUGAGUGGAUAUAAUCUGGCACCACCAUUUGAUCUGAUGCAAUGUGUUUGCAGUUGCAUCCAAACUUGUCUUUUACUGGAGUUGCACUUUGUCAGAGCCUAGAACAUCUCUUUUAAGAGGUGGUUUUAUGUUUCUUUGCUUGCGAUUUAGUUCUCUGUAGACCAUAAAUGUGGCAUUUUUGAGCAAAUGUAUUAUGCAAAUUCAUUUCGCAUCAAGUAAAUGGAAUGGGUAUUCAAGCAAACCAACGGAAUCAUGGAUUUGGGCAUGUGCGACAGUCAAGAGGAAUGGGAGUUGCCUUUGUAGAGUGUACGUCUUUCCUUUUGGUCUCGUCUUCAUUGGAAUGUGGAUUGCUUUUAGUAGUGUCCUGUGCUUCUUGGCUUACCUUUCUUCUUGGAUAUUUGGUCUGUAUAUUGUCAGCUUGCUCUUGAGGCCUGGGAGAAUGGGGAUGCUCUUAAGAGGUGUCUGGUACUUCCUGGCUUAUGGUUUAUUUUUGUUAGAUUUUAUCAGAUAUGAUUCGAGCAAAGAGUUUUGUGCAGCAACUUUUGUCUCUUAAUGGAGUCCUAGGGUUUAUAGGAGGAGGGCAGGCUGCUGAUUGUUGUGGUCUGCUAAAGGGUUUGGAUUUUGUCUUAGACAUAGUGACCUGUUGGCAUCUUUGGGUGCAAGUGCUGGUUUGCUUUUGCUGGUUCUUUUGUUGUGGCAUAUUACUCUUUUUUUUUUUUUUCUGGCAGGCUAAAGUUGCUUAAGUUCGUGAUGGGUCAGUAUGUUGGAUAUUUGAAACUUCUGGGCAGAGUAGUCCAUUGUAGAAGAAGCAGUCUCAUUCUUUGAGGGCUCCGUCUCAGAUUCAAGUUUAUGCACAGAGCUGAUAGAACUGUUUUUUCAAACUGCUGAUGGAAAUAGAUGUGUUGCUGGGUGUGUCUCUUUUAUUGGUUCAAUAAUGCUGUGGUCAAGCGUCAUUCGACUAUUCCCAGCUGCUUGCCGAUACAGGUCCUUUUUUAAGAACUAAUGUGAGUGUGAGUCUUGCUUUUAUGUAUGCAUAACUUAUUUUGGAUCCUGCGAAAACCUUCAAUAUAACAAUGAACAAAUAUGCUUUGGCUGGAUUUUAAGCUCGUGAAGUGUGGAAGGGAUGAUAGGGAUGAGGUCCUCUGAGAGAUUGCAUUAAAUGUAAUACUUAUCUCUAAUUUAUGACUAAGUAAUGAACUUACAAAGAUAACAUGUUAUGUAUUGAAAGAAUGUAGUCCUGGUUUAUCAUUUUGGAAUGAGCCCUUUACGUAGAUUGCUGAUUAUGCUAGAGAAUUUUUUUCUUGCUUUCGUUAAAGGAGAUUUCUAAACUAUGCGACAUUUCUUUUGAAGUAAUUUUUCUCUUUGGAUAUUUGAAGUAUAUUUGUUAGACAUUUUGUUAUGUUGUUUAUCAAUUGUAUAAUGUCAACUUCUUGGUAGCUUUUUCUCUUUUAGAUUUGUUUGGCUUUUAGUAUGAUGGUUAUGUUAUGUGCAUUGCUUUGGUUUUAUUAGCUGUCUGUUGUGUGUAUUUGUGUUUAGUUAGUUAGGUAAUAUUGUCGACAUUUAAUAAUUGAACGUGGUUCCAAUCAACACAGCCCAUUGAUGAUUUGAGUAGCUACUCCAAAAUCAAAAAUUGUCAUUCAUCAA